AGAGUUUGAUUAUGGCUCAGGAUGAACGCUGGCGGCGUGCUUAACACAUGCAAGUCGAACGAAGCAAAUUCUUGCUUGCAAGAAAUUGACUUAGUGGCGGACGGGUGAGUAACGCGUGGGUAACCUGCCUCAUACAGGGGGAUAACAGUUGGAAACGACUGCUAAGACCGCAUAACCCGCUAGUGUCGCAUGACACGGACGGAAAAUAUUUAUAGGUAUGAGAUGGGCCCGCGUCUGAUUAGCUAGUUGGUAAGGUAACGGCUUACCAAGGCGACGAUCAGUAGCCGACUUGAGAGAGUGAUCGGCCACAUUGGGACUGAGACACGGCCCAAACUCCUACGGGAGGCAGCAGUGGGGAAUAUUGGACAAUGGGGGAAACCCUGAUCCAGCCGACGCCGCGUGAGUGAAGAAGUAUUUCGGUAUGUAAAGCUCUAUCAGCAGGGAAGAUAAUGACAGUACCUGACUAAGAAGCCCCGGCUAACUACGUGCCAGCCGCCGC
rnacentral:rRNA from 1 species